UUUCCGUAGGUGAACCUGCGGAAGGAUCAUUACAAAUCCAUCCACGUCUCAUUCCUUGAGACCACGUUGAAAUGUUCCCUAGAGUGUAUGUAUGUAUGUAUGUAUGUAUGUGUUGUGGUCUCCUCGACCUUCAGCCGCUUCAUCGGCCGUCCGUCCUGUGGUGGCACACAAUGCAAUACAAUACAAUACAAUACAAUACAAUACAAUACACACUAGGCUUGUAAACUAGUAUCAUCUGUUGCUCAAUUGUAUCUUGCUUGAUUGUAAUGAUCAAGGUAAACAAAGUACAACUUAUAACAAUGGAUCUCUAGGCUCUU
rnacentral:misc_RNA from 1 species